UACGAAGGGGGCUAGCGUUGCUCGGAAUCACUGGGCGUAAAGGGUGCGUAGGCGGGUCUUUAAGUCAGGGGUGAAAUCCUGGAGCUCAACUCCAGAGCUGCCUUUGAUACUGAAGAUCUUGAGUUCGGGAGAGGUGAGUGGAACUGCGGGUGUAGAGGUGAAAUUCGUAGAUAUUCGCAAGAACACCAGUGGCGAAGGCGGCUCACUGGCCCGAUACUGACGCUGAGGCACGAAAGCGUGGGGAGCAAACAGG
rnacentral:rRNA from 1 species